rfam:Triticum aestivum genome assembly, contig: Triticum_aestivum_CS42_TGACv1_scaffold_424404_5BS
GUAAUACUUCCUCCGUCCGAAAAUACUUGUCAUAAAAAUGGAUGUAUUUUGAUGCAUUUUAGUUCUAGAUACAUCCACUUUUAUUCAUUUCUGUGACAAGUAAUUCCGAAGAGAGGGAGUAUGUA